rnacentral:rRNA from 1 species
CUUGAAUAUCUAUAAGAGGUCCAGCCUGCCCAGUGACUCUGUUCAACGGCCGCGGUAUCCUAACCGUGCGAAGGUAGCGUAAUCACUUGUUCUUUAAAUGAGGACUAGUAUGAAUGGCACCACGAGGGUUACACUGUCUCCUUUUUCUAAUCAGUGAAACUAAUCUCCCCGUGAAGAAGCGGGAAUAAAAAUAUAAGACGAGAAGACCCUAUGGAGCUUUAAACUUAAUAACAAGUACUACCCUUAUCUAACUUUCAGAACAUACACCUUUAUUCUAGUACUAUGAUUAUUAGUUUUAGGUUGGGGUGACCGCGGAGCAAAAAUCAACCUCCACAUUGAACGGAACUCAUUCCUGAGCAAAAAGCCACGACUUUAAGCACCAACAAAUUGACAUCAAUUGACCCAAUAUUUUGAUCAACGAAC